rnacentral:rRNA from 1 species
UCUCCUGGAAAACGGGUGGUAAUGCCGGAUGCUCCGACUCCUCGCAUGGGGUGUCGGGAAAGAUUUCAUCGGUAUGGGAUGGGGUCGCGUCCUAUCAGGUAGUCGGCGGGGUAACGGCCCACCGAGCCUACGACGGGUAGCCGGCCUGAGAGGGCGACCGGCCACAUUGGGACUGAGAUACGGCCCAGACUCCUACGGGAGGCAGCAGUGGGGAAUAUUGCACAAUGGGCGCAAGCCUGAUGCAGCGACGCCGCGUGCGGGAUGACGGCCUUCGGGUUGUAAACCGCUUUUGAUCGGGAGCAAGCCUUCGGGUGAGUGUACCUUUCGAAUAAGCACCGGCUAACUACGUGCCAGCAGCCGCGGUAAUACGUAGGGUGCAAGCGUUAUCCGGAAUUAUUGGGCGUAAAGGGCUCGUAGGCGGUUCGUCGCGUCCGGUGUGAAAGUCCAUCGCUUAACGGUGGAUCUGCGCCGGGUACGGGCGGGCUGGAGUGCGGUAGGGGAGACUGGAAUUCCCGGUGUAACGGUGGAAUGUGUAGAUAUCGGAAAGAACAC